GGUAUAGGCCAUGCGAGUCAUUGUAGCAUACAAGGCGGAUGGCUCAGUAACACGUAGUCAACCUAACUCGUGGACGUGGAUAACCUCGGGAAACUGAGAAUAAACCACGAUAGAUCAUAGUGCCUGGAAUGGCUUAUGGUCCAAACAGUUUACUGCCAUGGGAUGGGACUGCGGCCUAUCAGCUUGUUGGUGAGGUAAUGGCCCACCAAGGCGAUUACAGGUACGGGCUCUGAGAGGAGAAGCCCGGAGAUGGGUACUGAGACACGGACCCAGGCCCUAUGGGGCGCAGCAGGCGAGAAACCUUAGCAAUGUGCGAAAGCACGACUGGGUCAGUCCGAGUGAUUCCUGAUAAAGGAGUCUUUUGCUUGUCCUAAAAGCACAGGUGAAUAAGGGGUGGGCAAGUCUGGUGUCAGCCGCCGCGGUAAUACCAGCACCUCGAGUGGUCAGGACGUUUAUUGGGCCUAAAGCAUCCGUAGCCGGCUCUGCAAGUCUUCGGUUAAAUCCACCUGCUCAACAGAUGGGCUGCUGGAGAUACUACAGAGCUAGGGAGUGGGAGAGGCCAGACGGUAUUUCAGUGGGUUAGGGGU
rnacentral:rRNA from 1 species